rnacentral:rRNA from 1 species
AACGAACGCUGGCGGCAUGCCUAACACAUGCAAGUCGAACGAGACCUUCGGGUCUAGUGGCGCACGGGUGCGUAACGCGUGGGAACCUGCCCUUAGGUUCGGAAUAACUCCCCGACAGGGGUGCUAAUACCGGAUAAUGUCUUCGGACCAAAGAUUUAUCGCCUUUGGAUGUGCCCGCGUUGGAUUAGCUAGUUGUUAGGGUAAAAGCCUACCACGGCGACGAUCCAUAGCUGGUCUGAGAGAAUGAUCAGCCACACUGGGACUGAGACACGGCCCAGACUCCUACGGGAGGCAGCAGUGGGGAAUAUUGGAAAAUGGGCGAAAGCCUGAUCCAGCAAUGCCGCGUGAGUGAUGAAGGCCUUAGGGUUGUAAAGCUCUUUUACCCGGGAUGAUAAUGACAGUACCGGGAGAAUAAGCGCCGGCUAACUCCGUG